UACGAGGGGUGCAAACGUUAUUCGGAAUGACUGGGCGUAAAGGGCGCGUAGACGGCGUAUUAAGUCUGCUGUUAAAUUCUUCAGCCUAACUGAAGGUAAGCGGUGGAUACUGGUAUGCUCGAGGAUGGAAGAGAGAAGUGGAAUUCUCGGAGUAGCGGUAAAAUGCGUAGAUCUCGAGAGGAACACCGAUGGCGAAGGCAGCUUCUUGGUCCAAUCCUGACGUUGAGGCGCGAAAGCGUGGGGAGCAAACAGG
rnacentral:rRNA from 1 species